rnacentral:misc_RNA from 1 species
UUUCCCAAUUCUUCUCUAAGCCUAUAAUAACAAUGGUAGAUCUACUCAUAUUUAUGCAUCACAAAGUUGGAUCAUUUUCACCAAUUACCCCAUUAAGUUCUGAUUUGCCUACAAUGGGGUCAAGAAUUUUCAUCAAUUUUAGAACCUUGAAGCAUGUUCAUCACAAGCAUGUAAGGUAGAAAGAACAUGAGAAAGUCUUUCAUUGUGGUUACAUGGGCUUGACAAAAGCAAAAGAACUAAACCUUUUUGAAGUUAAGAAAAUUAGACCCAAAUGGAGCACACUAUUGGAGCACGCAUUGGGUUGUCUUGUGGUGGGCCUUUUAAUGCAUGAAAGUUAGGCCUUUAUUCUUCAAAAUUCGUGGGUCCAUAAUAUCCUAUUAUUUAUUUACCUCUGUAAGCCCAUAUUGAGAAGUUUUUAGCAUUUUUUUUUAAUACCUUUUAUGUUCCUAUAUGGGUUAGGAGUCAAUUUGGCAUCUUUAAAUACCAAAUAUUCUCCAAGAUCAUCGAGGAUUGUGACCAGCAACAAUAUGGACGAAUUUUGACUAGUCAACUCCAAAUACAAUUUUGGAAAAUUACUACUAUCUUGAGAGAUUUUUGCUAGCACUUUAUUAAUUAGCAAUCUUUAAACUUUUUUUUUUCUUAUUUCUAUAAGGAUUUUUUUUUCAGACAUGUAUUUCUUUUAGUUCCUAAUUAGUUUCUUUAUAAUUUGCUUCUUUAAUUUCUUAUCUUUGCCUAUAAAUAGGCUUACAUAUGUAAUGUUUUACACAAUUUAGAGAAUGAAGAGAAAAUUUAGCAAAGUGCUAUCAAUUUUAAUUCUUAUCAAUUAGUUAUGCUUGUGACGAAUUACUUGACUUGUCACAAAGUUCCUUGUGUGGCGUCUACGUUUGAAGAUUGGGUUUUUUGUGGCAUUCUGAACUUAUCAAAGAAUUUCUCUCUUCUACUUAUCAUUUUAU